rnacentral:rRNA from 1 species
UACGAAGGGGGCGAGCGUUGUUCGGAUUUACUGGGCGUAAAGGGCGCGUAGGCGGCGCGAGAAGUCGAACGUGAAAUCCCCGGGCUCAACCCGGGAACUGCGUCCGAUACUGGAAGGCUUGAAUCCGGGAGAGGGAUGCGGAAUUCCAGGUGUAGCGGUGAAAUGCGUAGAUAUCUGGAGGAACACCGGUGGCGAAGGCGGCAUCCUGGACCGGCAUUGACGCUGAGGCGCGAAAGCCAGGGGAGCAAAUGGG